CCCUUAGAUGUUCGGGGCCGCACGCGCGCUACACUGAAGGAAUCAGCACGUCUUUCUCCUUGUCCGAAAGGACUGGGUAACCCGCUGAACCUCCUUCGUGCUAGGGAUUGGGGCUUGUAAUUCUUCCCCAUGAACGAGGAAUUCCCAGUAAACGCGAGUCAUAAGCUCGCGUUGAUUACGUCCCUGCCCUUUGUACACACCGCCCGUCGCUACUACCGAUUGGAUGGUUUAGUGAGAUCCUCGGAUUGGUCCCGGCGCGGCCUCUGGUCGUGCCGGAGUGCCGAAAAGAAUGUCGAACUUGAUCAUCUAGAGGAAGUAAAAGUCGUAACA
rnacentral:rRNA from 1 species